UGCAGUCGACGAUGAAGACCGUGCUUGCACGGUUGGAUUAGUGGCGAACGGGUGAGUAUCACGUGAGUAACCUUCCCUUGACUCUGGGAUAAGCCCGGGAAACUGGGUCUAAUACCGGAUACGACCAGUCCUCGCAUGGGGUGCUGGUGGAAAGAUUUAUCGGUCUUGGAUGGACUCGCGGCCUAUCAGCUUGUUGGUGAGGUAAUGGCUCACCAAGGCGAUGACGGGUAGCCGGCCUGAGAGGGUGACCGGCCACACUGGGACUGAGACACGGCCCAGACUCCUACGGGAGGCAGCAGUGGGGAAUAUUGCACAAUGGGCGAAAGCCUGAUGCAGCGACGCCGCGUGCGGGAUGACGGCCUUCGGGUUGUAAACCGCUUUCAGCAGGGAAGAAGCGAGAGUGACGGUACCUGCAGAAGAAGCGCCGGCUAACUACGUGCCAGCAGCCGCGGUAAUACGUAGGGCGCGAGCGUUAUCCGGAAUUAUUGGGCGUAAAGAGCUCGUAGGCGGUUUGUCACGUCUGCUGUGAAAGCCCGAGGCUCAACCUCGGGUGUGCAGUGGGUACGGGCAGACUAGAGUGCAGUAGGGGAGACUGGAAUUCCUGGUGUAGCGGUGAAAUGCGCAGAUAUCAGGAGGAACACCGAUGGCGAAGGCAGGUCUCUGGGCUGUUACUGACGCUGAGGAGCGAAAGCAUGGGGAGCGAACAGGAUUAGAUACCCUGGUAGUCCAUGCCGUAAACGUUGGGCACUAGGUGUGGGGGACAUUCCACGUUUUCCGCGCCGUAGCUAACGCAUUAAGUGCCCCGCCUGGGGGAGUACGGGCCGCAAGGCUAAAACUCAAAAGGAAUUGACGGGGGGCCCGCACAAACGGGCGGAGCAUGCCGGAUUAAUUCCGAUGCAACGCCGAAGAACCUUUCCCAAG
rnacentral:rRNA from 1 species